ACUCCUGCGGGAGGCAGCAGUGGGGAAUUUUGGACAAUGGGCGAAAGCCUGAUCCAGCCAUGCCGCGUGCAGGAUGAAGGCCUUCGGGUUGUAAACUGCUUUUGUACGGAACGAAACGGCCUUUUCUAAUAAAGAGGGCUAAUGACGGUACCGUAAGAAUAAGCACCGGCUAACUACGUGCCAGCAGCCGCGGUAAUACGUAGGGUGCAAGCGUUAAUCGGAAUUACUGGGCGUAAAGCGUGCGCAGGCGGUUAUGUAAGACAGUUGUGAAAUCCCCGGGCUCAACCUGGGAACUGCAUCUGUGACUGCAUAGCUAGAGUACGGUAGAGGGGGAUGGAAUUCCGCGUGUAGCAGUGAAAUGCGUAGAUAUGCGGAGGAACACCGAUGGCGAAGGCAAUCCCCUGGACCUGUACUGACGCUCAUGCACGAAAGCGUGGGGAGCAAACAGGAUUAGAUACCCGAGUAGUCCCAUG
rnacentral:rRNA from 1 species